UGUAAGAAGUAGGAAGGGAUGGUG
rnacentral:piRNA from 1 species